rnacentral:rRNA from 1 species
UACGGAGGGUGCAAGCGUUGCUCGGAAUCACUGGGCGUAAAGCGACCGCAGGCGGUCUGACAAGUCGGAUGUGAAAGCCCUGGGCUCAACUCAGGAACAGCAUUCGAAACUGGCAGACUUGAGUACGGGAGAGGGGGGUGGAAUUCCUGGUGUAGGGGUGAAAUUCGUUGAUAUCAGGAGGAACACCGGCGGCGAAGGCGGCCCCCUGGCCCGCAACUGACGCUCAUGGUCGAAAGCGUGGGGAGCAAACAGG